CUGUUCACUCCUUGCUAAGUCCAUCCCACGUCAUCAUGCAAGUCCCUUUCAUUCCAAAGUAUCUUCCACGUAAUCCACCCGAUACUCAAAAUAGAGCUCAUUCCCAACUGUCCACGUCAUCAUACAAGCUUGCAUUCCAUCCUCCCCCGCGUCCAAACAAAAUCCCCUGCUCCCAGCUCAAAUCAUCUUAUUACGGCUCAAACUGUCCGCAUGAAUCCGACUCCAUCGCCCAGCUCAUUUCAUCCACAUUAUUCCCUUAAGACAGAACUCGUCUUCCGAUGAGAAUAAAAUCCCAUCAUCCACGGCUUAAUCUCAUGAAAUUCCCAACGUCCAAAUGCAUCCUCCCCUGCUUCAUCCUUAUCUUCUAGCAACCGCCCUCUUCUUCCGAACCAACCCAACUUCCCUCGGAAUCACAUCCACAUUGAUCACCUUCCAAUUCUUCCGCUAGAUCCCACGUUUGAUCCCAGCUACAUCCACUCGCAUCAGCCAUAUCCACCGUUCCCAAGCUUCAUCCCAACGGCAUCACCACCUUCCUCUUGUUCUGGACUCCUUCCAUUCACAAACAAAAUCCCAGCUCAUAUCACCUUGUCACAGCUCAUCUCCCCUCCUCUUCGCUCGUAGGAUAAACUCAAAUCCCAGCUUCUUCCUGAUUGAUCCCAACAUCCCAAGCUCUCCGAGCUUCCUCCCGUGUCCCACGAACGAAGCUAAGGCCGUUCCGUCCGCGAUCCAAGGAUCAGCUCCCAAUUCCCCUGUUCCGAGUUCAUCUUUUCAACCAUGAACCAAAUCCCAACAUCCCAACAGCUUCUGGAUCACUUCACAACCAUUCCCAAGCUUCCUUUCUUCUGGAUUGAAUCCAGUAUCCACUGAUAGCUUCAAAUCCCAGUGAAUCCUAUAUUCCCAGAAUUUCUUCCAACCGGGAACAUCAUCCGAACCUUAUCAUCCCCUGCUUCAAGAUCAGCUCAAAUCCUCCACACCAGCCGCAUCCAAGAUCCUCUCCGUGUUGAAGAAGCACCGAUUCCUUCCAUCGCCCACGGAUGACAACCAGCAAGCUCAAAUCAACUUCCGGAUCAACUCCAUCCAGCAACGUAACCAAGGAUCAAGGAACAGAGCUUCACAGAUCACUCCAGCGUCCGUGAGAUCCUUCCAACGUCUUCCGCGUCCGGAUUUCCCGCGGCCCCAAAAAAAAUUCCCUCAGCUUCAUCCAGCGUCGAUCUAUCCUUAUCCUCCCAUUCGAAUCGAAAACAGAGGGGAGAGAGGGAGAAUCCGCAGCCUAUAAAAGGCCCAAGCGUGAAACAAGGGAGGGCAGCGGGACGGCUUGGGGGAGUUUGAUUCCAUAUAUAUUUUUAUCAAGUCCCACGAGAAAUAAAAAAAAAAAGGAAGAAGAG
rnacentral:lncRNA from 1 species